rnacentral:rRNA from 1 species
AUUGAACGCUGGCGGCAGGCCUAACACAUGCAAGUCGAACGAGCGGCGGACGGGUGAGUAUUGUCUGUGAAACUGCCUGCUGUAGCGGGAUAACUACUGGAAACGGUAGCUAAUACCGCAUACCCUCAGAUGUGCCCCGAUGGGCUUAGCGAGUAGGUGGGGUAACGGCUCACCUAGGCGCCGAUCCCUAGCUGGUCUGAGAGGAUGACCAGCCCCACUGGAACGGAGACACGGCCCAGACUCCUACGGGAGGGAGCAGUGGGGAAUAUUGCACAAUGGGCGCAAGCCUGAUGCAGCCAUGCCGCGUGUGUGAAGAAGGCCUUAGGGUUGUAAAGCACUUUCAGCGGGGAGGCGUUACCCGCAGAAGAAGCACCGGCUAACUCCGUGCCAGCAGCCGCGGUAAUAC